rnacentral:rRNA from 1 species
UACGGAGGGUGCAAGCGUUAUCCGGAUUCACUGGGUUUAAAGGGUGCGUAGGCGGGCAGGUAAGUCAGUGGUGAAAUCCCCGAGCUUAACUUGGGAACUGCCGUUGAUACUAUCUGUCUUGAAUACUAUGGAGGUAAGCGGAAUAUGUCAUGUAGCGGUGAAAUGCUUAGAUAUGACAUAGAAGACCAGUUGCGAAGGCAGGUGGCUGGACAGUUAUUGACACUGAGGCACGAAGGCGUGGGGAUCAAACGGG